rnacentral:rRNA from 1 species
GCUAAAACUUACUACCGAAGCUACGGCAUCAGUAAUGAUGGGUAGGGGAGCUUCCCAUACGGGUUGAAGCAUGACCGUAAGGACAUGUGGACAGUAUGGGAGGGAGAAUGUUGGCAUGAGUAGCGAGAUGUGGGUGAGAAUCCCACAGGCCGUAAACCCAAGGUUUCCAGGGGAAGGUUCGUCCGCCCUGGGUUAGUCGGGAC